GCCCACGUAGUGUAAUGGAUAACACACAAGAUUCCGGUUCUUGCAAUGAAGGUUCGAUUCCUUUCGUGGGUA
rnacentral:tRNA from 1 species